UACAGAGGUGCCGAGCGUUGUUCGGAUUCAUUGGGCGUAAAGGGGGCGUAGGUGGCGCCGUAAGUCAGGUGUGAAAUUUCGGAGCUUAACUCCGAAACUGCAUUUGAUACUGCGGUGCUUGAGGACUGGAGAGGAGACUGGAAUUCACGGUGUAGCAGUGAAAUGCGUAGAUAUCGUGAGGAAGACCAGUGGCGAAGGCGGGUCUCUGGACAGUUCCUGACACUGAGGCACGAAGGCCAGGGGAGCAAACGGG
rnacentral:rRNA from 1 species